GGGCCUGUAGCUCAAAUUGGUUAGAGCAGGCCGCUCAUAACGGUCUGGUUGCAGGUUCAAGUCCUGCCGGGCCCACCA
rnacentral:tRNA from 2 species